AGUCAUCCAUAUCAUGUUCAGUUGAUACUAUGUUAACAUAUCAAGUUACGAAUUAAACCACGUGAACAUAUUGUCCUUGUAAGUUUAACAUACUUCUAUAUUCAUAAUCAUGGAUUUCAUCAGUUUAGUGAAAUAUACUAUGUCUUGGGUCUACAAAUCAAGAAUUUUCUUACAGUGUUAUGAUCAUGCUAUUGUUUUAAAGUAUUAUUCAGUACUGGUGCGUUAUGAAUACCCGAUACCUAUAUGUUUUUACAUGUUUUCAAUUUCAAACAAUAAGUCAGUCAGAUCAUGAUUUUAUUAUCAUAUUCAGAUUAUUAUAUUCAUGAUGAGCAAUUAUCAGUUAUGAUACCAAUUAACUUUAAUUAAUACUAGUGUUAGUCCGGUUGGGAGUAGGAUUUAGCACCAAGUGAACUUAGGGAUGAAGGCUCACCCUCUAGUAGAGGACUGAGACCUUUAGUAGCAAUCCCUAAGUUCCACAACUACGUAGCCAGUGUAGGUUGUAAGAUGUCACCUGCCAGUAGAGAACUGACACCCCAGUCCUUCGGGACCCC
rnacentral:lncRNA from 1 species